AUUGAACGCUGGCGGCAGGCUUAACACAUGCAAGUCGAGCGGGGGAAGGUAGCUUGCUACCGGACCUAGCGGCGGACGGGUGAGUAAUGCUUAGGAAUCUGCCUAUUAGUGGGGGACAACAUCUCGAAAGGGAUGCUAAUACCGCAUACGUCCUACGGGAGAAAGCAGGGGAUCUUCGGACCUUGCGCUAAUAGAUGGGCCUAAGUCGGAUUAGCUAGUUGGUGGGGUAAAGGCCUACCAAGGCGACGAGCUGUAGCGGGUCUGAGAGGAUGAUCCGCCACACUGGGACUGAGACACGGCCCAGACUCCUACGGGAGGCAGCAGUGGGGAAUAUUGGACAAUGGGGGGAACCCUGAUCCAGCCAUGCCGCGUGUGUGAAGAAGGCCUUAUGGUUGUAAAGCACUUUAAGCGAGGAGGAGGCUACUUUAGUUAAUACCUAGAGAUAGUGGACGUUACUCGCAGAAUAAGCACCGGCUAACUCUGUGCCAGCAGCCGCCGUAA
rnacentral:rRNA from 1 species